CCUCCUCUCUGUCUGAAAUCCUGCGUCCUCGCCGCUCCACAGAUUCCUGGCGCGUGCGCACUGCAUUGCCCAUUAUGGGCAGAGGAACAGGGACUUUCAAUGCGCAUGCGCCAGCCUGCGCAACCCGAUCCAGCCGGCGGAGGCACGGGAUUUAAGACGGAGAGGAGUAGGCAACCAGACCACAGAGCCUCUUUCAC